rnacentral:rRNA from 1 species
UACGAGGGAGCUAGCGUUGUUCGGAAUUACUGGGCGUAAAGCGCACGUAGGCGGAUUUGUAAGUCAGGGGUGAAAUCCCGGGGCUCAACCUCGGAACUGCCUUUGAUACUGCAAAUCUCGAGUUCCGAUAGAGGGUGGGUGGAAUUCCUAGUGUAGAGGUGAAAUUCGUAGAUAUUAGGAAGAACACCGGUGGCGAAGGCGGCCCACUGGAUCGGUACUGACGCUGAGGUGCGAAGCGUGGGGAGCAAACAGG